rnacentral:rRNA from 1 species
UACGAGAGGAACAAGCGUUAUUCUUAGUGAUUGGGCGUAAAGGGUAAGUAGGUGGAAAUAUAAGUUAAAAGUGAAAAGCCGAGAGCUAAACUUCGGAACUGCUUUUAAGACUAUAUGUCUAGAGUAAUAUAGAAGAUAGUGGUACCUUUAAUUUAGAGGUGAAAUUCUGUGAGAUUAGGAAGGGACCCCCGACGGCUAAUGCAACUAUCUAUGUAUUACUGACACUGAGGAACACAACGAAAGCGUGGGGAGCAAACAGG